CCCCACCCCAGAAAACUCCCGGCCCCUGGGCUGGAGAAGGCAGCCAGGGCGUCGCGGACCGUCCCCGACGGCCCUUCAGAGGGUCCCGCCCCGGGGCUGCCAGUGCCGGGCUACCGGCACCGCCGAGAAGGCUCUGGGCCCGCGCCCCCGCCCUGCCCGCACCCCCAGUUCCCUGCCGAAGCGUCCUUACCCGGCGCGAAGCUGUCGGCUCCCGGCGGUCGGGCGGCCAAAGCAGCGGCGCCUCCUCCAGCGGCGGGCGCCCUCACCCUUCCGCACCCAAGAUCGCCAUCUCGCAGCAGGCGCGGCGGCGGCGGCGGCAACAGCCACCCAGGCGUCGGCCCCGGCAGCCCAGGCCGCCUGCAGCCACUGGGAACCCGCUCGCCGCGCUCGCCGACACCCGACCCUCCCCCCACCCCCACCCCGGCCACGCGCCACCCCCAGCAGACCCCACACCUCCCUCCUCAAGAGCGCGCCGCGUGCUCGCGUCGCCGGCGCCGCGCCGCGAGCGCGCGCCUCCCCGCCGGCCCCGCACAGCGCGCUGCGCCGCGGCCGCCUAAAACCUCCAACUCCGGACGCGGAAUCCGGCUUCCCGCGAGCAUGCGCAGCGAGGGCGCCCUGAUGAUGCUUUUGGAAAACUCCGCUCCUCCGGGUCUUUGGAGCGGUCGAGAAGAGGACAUUUUCUUCAAAGAAGCCCUGGUUGACGACAUUCCCUGCCGGGAAGUAUCGGGCCACCACGAAGUAAGACCCGUUGCUUGCAGAUGCCUUCCCUACUCCCAUCUUCUUCGUAUUCUUCCACACCAUGGCCGUGAAGUGUCCAGUCCCAGAAGUGAAGCCGGGCUGCUGGAAGUUGUAGUUCUUGAUUUCACUGUACCAUCUAUCAGCCACCUCCUUUCCUGUCUGAUCGUAGGAGGCCCAUGCCAGGUUCUCUCCACGCUGGCCGCGACUGGACUCCGGGCUGUGCUUGAGGAUCCUCGUGCUGGCCAGGGCCUCCGAAUACUGCUGGGCCUCCCGGUUCAGCUUCUUGCAGAGCUUCAGUGGGGGGACGCCGUGCUGCUGCCGGUACUCGUUGUGGGCCUUCAGGACCUCAUUAUUAAACUGCUUGGAAGCUGACUUGCCCAUGGCCCGCUCGGCGCGCUCCCCGGUUCCAGCUGCCGCUGCGCUGCGCUGCGCUCUCUCGCCCUCCCCGCACCGCUCAAGACACUGGGUUUCAAUGGUUUGUUUUGAAACAUUAUUGUGGCAACAGAUAAUACGGAGAUACCAACAUGAUAAUUAAUUGAUGAGAGGACCUCACUGUGUAUCUGAGGUACCAAGUCAGAGAUAAUAUUCACAGAUGGUAGAUAUUUUCAUAUAUUGAUAGCUUUUUUUGUAUUCUUCUGUCUCUGGAAAAACUCAUUUAUUACCCCAGGAGUGAUAAUGGUACAGAGAAUAUUCCCCUGUAGCAUUUUAGCAGCAUUUUAGACACUAGACUUGCCAAAGAACAAAUGUGACUUUGCUUAUCAUGUAGUCUUUUGGUACUUGAAGUGUUAAGAAGAUAAAUGGAUUUUAUGUGAUUAGGAUGGUAAAGAUCCAUUAUAUUCUCUGCCUCAAAUUCUCAUGUGGAUUUAAGUUGUUGGUGAGAAGAAAUAAGAAUGUAAUCAGGUUUGUGAAUGCUUGUAGCUGUGAUUUUUCCUGAUAGCUAGUAGAUUGUAGAAUGCCUUUGAAAGAAAUCUUGGAAAUAUAGACUGUCAGGUGAAGUCCUUACUCUUAUAUUAGGUAGAUACAGGUUUCUACAUAGAAAAUAGCUUCAGCUCCAGUUAACAUUUAUUGAUCAUCUGUUAUGUACUAGGCAUUAUAAAUACAAAAUCAGUGAAAAUUAGCCUCUGUCCUAGAGAGAUUUAGAGUUCAGAAAAGAGACGAAGAAAUCAUGACAGAGAAAUAAAUACUAUGGUAAGUACA
ensembl:lncRNA